UUUAGCAUACCAUUUUAAUUUUUUUUUUUAACUAUACUUUUUUGCUUCUUCAUAGUUGCUCUGGGGAUUAUAAUAUGCUUCUUAAUUUAUCACAGUCUACUUCAGAUUAGUACUAACUUAAUUUCAGUAAAAUAUGGAAACUUCCUAGAGGCCGCGGUCCGCCCGGGGCUUCUCCGGAGGCGCCCAGUGCAGCCGCGAAGAGUUAGGCUCUGUCAGCCGCGGAUCCCGCGGGGGCCAAGGGUGAGGCUUAGGCCGCGGGCCGCAGGAAGAAAAACCGAGCGAGUUCUCACGCGCGGUGCGCUUCCCUGAGCUGUGGGUUGUGCACCUGGGACUCGGCUCAGACACGU
rnacentral:telomerase_RNA from 1 species